GCCAGUAACAUUGCUGGAGGGGAUACACCCGUUCCCAUUCCGAAUACGGUAGUUAAGCCCUCUGAGGUCGAUGGUACUGUAGUCGCAAGGCUAUGGGAGAGUAGAAAGUUGCUGGCU
rnacentral:rRNA from 1 species